rnacentral:rRNA from 1 species
GUCAAAAAAAAGAAGGCUCACGACGGAGACCUAGGCUCUCAGAGACGAUGAAAGGCGCGAUACCGGCGAUAUGCUUUGGGGAGUAGGAAGAAUACAUUGAUCCAAAGAUUCCUGAAUAGGGCAACCUGUCCGACUAUCUAUGAAUUCAUAAAUAGAUUAGAGGCAACCUGGUGAACUGAAACAUCUCAGUAGCCAGAGGAAAAGAAAGCAAAAGCGAUUCCCGUAGUAGCGGCGAGCGAACUGGGACCAGCCUAAACCAAUUUUAUUGGGGUUGUGGGAAGACAAAAAAAAAUAAAGCGAGUUUGUUUUGAGGCGCUCCGCGCGAUCAAAGAUUCCAAACUUCGAAGAUUGUUGUCAGCCGCGAAGCGGAGAGAUUGACAAAGAAAAAGACGAAGCAGCUGAAUCCUGCACCAUAGACGGUGAAAGUCCAGUAGUCAUAUUCAAUAACUUUUCAUAUAAAAUAACUUUUUCGCCAAGCCAUUCGCUCCUUCGGUGCUUCUUUUGAGGCGCUCCGCGCGAUCGAAGAUUCCAAACUUGCCGACUGCGCUGUCGGCGAAGCCGAAGAAGAAGAAGCGGUUCGCCAAGUCGGCAAUCAUAGAUUGCCGAAUAGAUUGGCUUUCGGAAUCGAAGAUCGCCGCUCCGCGGAGAACUAGAUUGACGACGAUGUUUAUUUUAAAUUUAAUGUCUAUCCCGAGUAGCAUGGGGCACGUGGAAUCCCGUGUGAAUCUGCGAGGACCACCUCGUAAGGCUAAACACUCCUGAGAGACCGAUAGCGAAAUAGUACAGCGAUGGAAAGGUGAAACAGAACCCCCGUAGGGGAGUGAAACAGAACAUGAAAUCGUGAGCUGACAAGCAGUGGGAGGAUUUUUAAAUCUGACCGCGUGCCUGUUGAAGAAUGAGCCGGCGACUUAUAGGAUGUGGCGGGUUAAAGAGUAAGAUCUGGAGCCUAAGCGAAAGCGAGUCUGAAUCGGGCGAAAGUCACUUCUUAUGGACCCGAACCUGGAUGAUCUAACCAUGAGCAAGCUGAAGCUUAGGUAACACUUAGUGGAGGGCUGAACGGACCGAUGUUGAAAAAUCGGCCGAUGACUUGUGGUUAGCGGAGAAAUUCCAAUCGAAUUCAGAGCUAGCUGGUUCUCCCCGAAAUGCGUUGAGGCGCAGCGGCAAUGAUGGGCAAUCUAAGGGUAGAGCGACUGUUUCGGUGCGGGCUGCGAAAGCGGUACCAAGUCGUGGCAAACUCCGAAUAUUAGAUAUGCUUUCCAUGUGCCAGUGAGACAGUCGGAGAUAAGUUUGAUUGUCAAGAGGGAAACAGCCCAGAUCAUCAGCUAAGGCCCCUAAAUGACUCCUAAGUGGAAAAGGAUGUGAAAAUGCAGAAACAACCAGGAAAUUCGCUUAGAAGCAGCUAUUUUUUAAAGAGUGCGUAAUAGCUCACUGGUAAAGCGUUUUUGCGCCGACAAUGGCCGGGACUAAGGAGUCUGCCGAAGCUAUGAGAUUUUUUAUUUCUUUUAUACUCGCAAAGCGAAGGCUUCUUCGCACUCGGUGCUUCUUCGGUCGCGCGUUCGGCGAGUUUGGAAUCUUCGAUUCCAAAAGAAGCACCGACAGCACGCGCUUCCGCGGAGCGGCUGCGAAGACUUCGUCGAAAGCGACCGAACGCGCUGUCGGCGAGUUUGGAAUCUUCGAUUCCAAAAGAAGAAGCGAAGAACUAUUUAAAAGAAAAAAUAAAAAUCGGUAGGGGAGCGUUCAGCGCUGGGUGAAGCUUUGACGUAAGUUUGAGUGGACGGCGCUGAAGUGAGAAUGUCGGCUUGAGUAACGAAAACAUUGGUGAGAAUCCAAUGCCCCGAAAACCUAAGGGUUCCUUUACAAGGUUCGUCCAUGAAGGGUGAGUCAGGACCUAAGGCGAGGCCGAUAGGCGUAGUCGAUGGCAAACAGGUUGAUAUUCCUGUACUUUUUUGAGGGGGAACCGAGGGACGAAGUCGGCUAAAUUGAGUCUGUGAAUGGAAUGCAGUGGAAAUGUUUAAGGUAUCGCUUCGCGAGAACAGAUCGAAGAAAAACGAAUCUGUAGCUGAGGCAUGAUCCCACUCUCCUAAACUUGUUUGGGCAGAGUGUCAAUGAUGUCAUACUUCCAAGAAAAGCUCGUACACCAUCUCGCCGCUUCCCCGCGAAGCGGAGGCAAGAUUAAACCUUCAAAAAACCUGUACCUGAAACCGACACAGGUAGGUUGGUAGAGAAUACUAAGGGGCGCAAGAGAACUCUCUCUAAGGAACUCGGCAAAUUGGCCCCGUAACUUCGGGAGAAGGGGCGCCCCUGACUUUGUCAGGGGCCACAGUAUAAAGAGUGUGGCAACUGUUUACCAAAAACACAGGUCUCCGCAAAGUCGCAAGACAAUAUAUGGGGGCUGACGCCUGCCCAGUGCCGGAAGGUGAAGGAAGUUGGUUAUUUAGGCUUCGCGCCUGGAGAAGCUGACAACCGAAGCCCCGGUGAACGGCAGCUGUAACUAUGACAGUUCUAAGGUAGCGAAAUUCAUUGUCGAGUAAGUUUCGACCUGCACGAAAGGCGUAAUGAUCACACUACUGUCUCAGAGAGAGGCUUGGUGAAAUAGACUUAUCCGUGAAGAUGCGGAUUAACAACAUUUGGACAGAAAGACCCUAUGAAGCUUGACUGUAUCCUGGAAUUGGGUUCGGGCUUUUCUUGCGCAGUCUAGGUGGGAGGCAUUGAAGAUUUCUUUCCGGAGAGAUUGGAGCCAUCAGUGAGAGACCACUCUGGAAAGGCUAGAAUCCUAAGAGUGAUCCCUAAUCGGGACAUUUGACGUUUUCAGGAGGGCAGUUUUUUUGGGGCGAAAGUCCUCCUAAAAGGUAACGGAGGCGCGCAAAGGUUUCCUCAGUCUGGACGGAAAUCAGACGUUACAGAGUGUAAAGGCAAAAGGAAGCUUGACUGCAAGACCUACAAGUCGAGCAGGGGCGAAAGCCGGCCUUAGUGAUCCGACGGUUUCCGUGUGGAAGGGCCGUCGCUCAACGGAUAAAAGUUACUCUAGGGAUAACAGGCUGAUCUUCUCCAAGAGUUCACAUCGACGAGAAGGUUUGGCACCUCGAUGUCGGCUCAUCACAUCCUGGGGCUGUAGUAGGUCCCAAGGGUUGGGCUGUUCGCCCAUUAAAGUGGUACGUGAGCUGGGUUCAAAACGUCGUAAGACAGUUUGGUCCAUAUCCGAUGUUGUCGUUAGAGCGCUGAGGGGAUCCUUAAAUAGUACGAGAGGAUUUUUAAGGUCGUGCCUAUGGUGUAUCAGUUCUCUCUCCAGAGGGAAACGCUGAGUAGCUACGCACGGUUUAGAUAACCGCUGAAAGCAUCUAAGUGGGAAGCUUUCCUCAAGAUGAGCGCUCUCCAUUAUGCCACAGCUAGACAAGCUGAUGAUAGGUAUCAGGUGAAAGGUCUGCAAGGAUUUGAGCCGAGAUAUACUAAAGGCCAAGUGAUUUUGACCA